CCCUUAGAUGGUCUGGGCGGCACGCGCGCUACAAUGAUGCAUUCAAAAAGUCUUCUGACCUUAGAAGGUUGGGUAUUCUCCAAAGUGCAUCGUGAUGGGAAUAGUUUAUUGCAAUUUUUAAUCUUGAACGAGGAAUUCCUAGUAAGUACAGGUCAUCAACUUGUGUUGAUUACGUCCCUGCCCUUUGUACACACCGCCCGUCGCUCCUACUGAUUGAGUGUCUCGGUGAAUUCUUUGAUCUUCUGUCGAUUCAGUUCACUGAUCCGACGGUGGAAAGUUGAUUGAACUUCGUCACUUAGAGGAAGGAGAAGUCGUAACA
rnacentral:rRNA from 1 species